rnacentral:rRNA from 1 species
GACGAACGCUGGCGGCGUGCUUAACACAUGCAAGUCGAACGGUGAGACGCCAGCUUGCUGGAGUGGAUCAGUGCCGAACGGGUGAGUAACACGUGAGCAACCUGCCCCUGACUCUGGGAUAAGCGCUGGGAACGGCGUCUAAUACUGGAUACGAGAUCAAGCAGCAUGUGGAUGAUUUGGAAAAUUUGUCGGUUCUGGAUGGGAUCGAGGCCUAUCCGCUUGUUGGGGAGGUAGUGGAUCACCAAGGCUACGAAGGGUAGCCGGCCUGGGAGGUCGACCGGGCACACUGGGACUGAGACACGGCCCAGAAUGCAACGGGAGGCAGCAGUGGGGAAUAUUGCACAACGGGCGAAAGCCUAAGGCAGCGACGCCGCGUGCGGGAUGACGGCCUUCUGGGUGUAAACCUCUUUCUGCGGGGAAGAAGCGAAAGUGACGGUACCUGCAGAAGAAGCACCGGCUAACUACGUG